rnacentral:rRNA from 1 species
GAUGAGCGCUGGCGGCGUGCCUAAUACAUGCAAGUCGAGCGAACAGACGAGGAGCUUGCUCCUCUGACGUUAGCGGCGGACGUGUGAGUAACACGUGGAUAACCUACCUAUAAUACUGGUAUAACUUCGGGAAACCGGAGCUAAUACCGGAUAAGAUAUUGAACCGCAUGGGUCAAUGGUGAAAGACGGCUUUUCUGUCACGUAUAGAGGGAUCCGCGCCGUAUGAGCUAGUAGGUAAGGUAACGGCUUACCAAGGCAAGGAGGCGUAGGCGAGGUGAGAGGGUGAUCGGCCACCCUGGAACUGGGACACGCUCCAGACUCCUACGGGAGGCAGCAGUAGGGAACGUGCCGCAAUGGGCGAAAGCCUUACGGAGCAACGCCGCGUGAGUGAUGGAGGUCUUCGGAUCGUAAAACUCUGUUAUUAGGGAAGAACAAAUGUGUAAGUAAAUAUGCACGUCUUGACGGUAACUAAUCAGAAAGCAACGGCUAACUACGUG